UACGGAGGAUGCGAGCGUUAUCCGGAUUUAUUGGGUUUAAAGGGUGCGUAGGCGGGCUUUUAAGUCAGCGGUAAAAAUUCGGGGCUCAACCCCGUCCGGCCGUUGAAACUGGGGGUCUUGAGUGGGCGAGAAGAAGGCGGAAUGCGUGGUGUAGCGGUGAAAUGCAUAGAUAUCACGCAGAACCCCGAUUGCGAAGGCAGCCUUCCGGCGCCCUACUGACGCUGAGGCACGAAAGUGUGGGGAUCGAACAGG
rnacentral:rRNA from 1 species